UUAAAUUGAAGAGUUUGAUCAUGGCUCAGAUUGAACGCUGGCGGCAGGCCUAACACAUGCAAGUCGAACGGUAGCACAGAGAGCUUGCUCUCGGGUGACGAGUGGCGGACGGGUGAGUAACGUCUGGGAAACUGCCCGAUGGAGGGGGAUAACUACUGGAAACGGUAGCUAAUACCGCAUAACGUCGCAAGACCAAAGUGGGGGACCUUCGGGCCU
rnacentral:rRNA from 1 species